rnacentral:rRNA from 1 species
CUUGAAGAUAAGGAGUUACUUUCUCUAUAACUCAAAGAAUUUGGCGGUUAGUUAAGUUUUUAGAGGAACUUGUACUUUAAUUGAUACACCACGAUAGUUUACACCUUAAUUUUAUUUGUAUAUCUCUAUGAUUGAAAUGUUUUUAAAAAAUAUUUUUUUUUUGUUAUUUCUUUAAUAUUAGGUCAAGGUGCAGUUUUAUUAUGGUAGUUAUGAGUUACUUUAGUUUUAUAUUUAAUUUUUUGUAAAUUAUUUUAAUUUUUUAGUUUCGGAUUUAAAAGUAAUUUGAAUUAAUUUUUUCUUUUGAAUUAUU